GUGUCAGCAGCCGCGGUAAUACGUACUGCGCGAACGUUAUUCGGAAUCACUGGGCUUAAAGGGUGCGCAGGCGGCUUGUCAAGCCCGUGGUGAAAGGUCCCGGCCUAACCGGGGACGUGCUUCGGGGACUGACGAGCUUGGGCGAGCUAGGGGUCUGUGGAACUCCCGGUGGAGCGGUGAAAUGUGUUGAGAUCGGGAGGAACGCCGGUGGCGAAAGCGACAGACUGGGGCUUGGCCGACGCUCAUGCACGAAAGCCAGGGGAGCGAACGGGAUUAGAUACCCCCGUAGUCC
rnacentral:rRNA from 1 species